rnacentral:ncRNA from 1 species
GCCUGAUCACUCCACGAUCUGAUCUUUCGUCCUAAAGAAAGGAGGAACUAUCCGCCGGCUCGCGGUGCGGCAGUGUGGAGACCUGUCGUAAUGCGGCGCGUCCCUUGCGGGCGGUCGCGAGGCACUCGGGAGGAGUCCCGUUUGUCAGGGCUGUAUAUAUGGCA